rnacentral:tRNA from 1 species
UCCCUGGUGGCUCAGAGGGUAAAGCGUCUGCCUACAACGCAGGACACCCGGGGUUCAAUCCCUGGGUAGGGAA